rnacentral:lncRNA from 1 species
GACAAAUUGCUUCUUUCCAGAUGUUCUUUCCCAACACCCGAGAUGAGCUAAGCAUUUGAUGCUAUCAGCCAUGGAAUUUUCCACAUUUCGACUGACCGUGGGACUUGCUGGUGCAGCUGUUGUCUGGUUUGAUUCGAAUUUACCUUUAUUUAGGAAAUAAGAAGAAACGCAAGCUUUUCUAAGAGAGAGAGAAAAUAUUUGCUUUGAAGGAGAAUUUACCAGAAGGACAACAGUAAAGUUUCUGUCUUCUUCAAGAGAUUCAUUUCAUAAGACACUUUCUAUGAUGAAUGAAGCUGUAGGAAAUAUAACUGUCUAGUACAGCUUUUACACUCGUUUCUAUAAUAGCAUUUAGCUUCUGAUUGGAGUUGAUGUAAAAUGGAAUGUAAUAAAGAA